GUGGGGAAUCUUAGACAAUGGGGGAAACCCUGAUCUAGCCAUGCCGCGUGAUCGAUGAAGGCCUUAGGGUUGUAUAGAUCUUUCAGGUGGGAAGAUAAUGACUGUACCACCAGAAGAAGCCCCGGCUAACUCCGUGCCAGCAGCCGCGGUAAUACGGAGGGGGCUAGCGUUGUGCGGAAUUACUGGGCGUAAAGCGCACGUAGGCGGAUUGGAAAGUUGGGGGUGAAAUCCCGGGGCUCAACGCCGGAACUGCCUUCAAAACUCCCAGUCUUGAGUUCGAGAGAGGUGAGUGGAAUUCCGAGUGUAGAGGUGAAAUUCGUAGAUAUUCGGAGGAACACCAGUGGCGAAGGCGGCUCACUGGCUCGAUACUGACGCUGAGGUGCGAAAGCGUGGGGAGCAAACAGGAUUAGAUACCCCUGUAGUCC
rnacentral:rRNA from 1 species